GCGGCGGUAAUACGUAGGGUGCGAGCGUUAAUCGGAAUUACUGGGCGUAAAGCGUGCGCAGGCGGUUCGUUAAGACAGAUGUGAAAUCCCCGGGCUUAACCUGGGAACUGCAUUUGUGACUGGCGAGCUAGAGUAUGGCAGAGGGGGGUAGAAUUCCACGUGUAGCAGUGAAAUGCGUAGAGAUGUGGAGGAAUACCGAUGGCGAAGGCAGCCCCCUGGGCCAAUACUGACGCUCAUGCACGAAAGCGUGGGGAGCAAACAGGAUUAGAUACCCUGGUAGUCCACGCCCUAAACGAUGUCAACUAGUUGUUGGGUCUUCAUUGACUUAGUAACGUAGCUAACGCGUGAAGUUGACCGCCUGGGGAGU
rnacentral:rRNA from 1 species